GCUGGUGUGGCUCAAUUGGUAGAGCAACUGACUUGUAAUCAGUAGGUUGGGGGUUCAAGUCCUCUCACCAGCU
rfam:Anaerosphaera aminiphila DSM 21120 genome assembly, contig: EJ13DRAFT_scaffold00005.5